rnacentral:rRNA from 1 species
CCUACGGGUGGCAGCAGUGAGGAAUAUUGGUCAAUGGACGAGAGUCUGAACCAGCCAAGUAGCGUGAAGGAUGACUGCCCUAUGGGUUGUAAACUUCUUUUAUAUGGGAAUAAAAUGUUCCACGUGUGGGAUUUUGUAUGUACCAUAUGAAUAAGGAUCGGCUAACUCCGUGCCAGCAGCCGCGGUAAUACGGAGGAUCCGAGCGUUAUCCGGAUUUAUUGGGUUUAAAGCGAACGUAGGUGGAUUGUUGAGUCAGUUGUGAAAGUUUGCGGCUCAACCGUAAAAUUGCAGUUGAAACUGGCAGUCUUGAGUACAGUAGAGGUGGGCGGAAUUCGUGGUGUAGCGGUGAAAUGCUUAGAGAUCACGAAGAACUCCGAUUGCGAAGGCAGUUCACUGGACUGAAACUGACGCUGAGGCUCGAAAGUGUGGGUAUCAAACAGGAUUAGAUACCCUUGUAGUC